rnacentral:rRNA from 1 species
GACGAACGCUGGCGGCGUGCUUAACACAUGCAAGUCGAACGGAAAGGCCAUGCUGUUGUGGGGUGCUCGAGUGGCGAACGGGUGAGUAACACGUGGGUACCCUGCCCUUGCCUUUGGGAUAACUUCAGGAAACUGGGGCUAAUACCGGAUAGGAGCUCCUACUGCAUGGUGGGGGUUGGAAAGUUUCGGCGGUUGGGGAUGGACUCGCGGCUUAUCGGCUUGUUGGUGGGGUAGUGUCUUAGCAAGGCUUUGACGGGUAGCCGGCCUGAGAGGGUGACCGGCCCCAUUGGGCCUGGGAAACGGGCCAGACUCCUACGGGAGGAAGCAGUGGGGAAUAGUGCACAAUGGGCGGAAGCCUGAUGCAGCAACGCCGCGUGCGGGAUGACGGCCUUAGGGUUGGAAACCGCUUUCGCCUGUGACGAAGCGUGAGUGACGGUAAUGGGUAAAGAAGCACCGGCUAACUACGUG